UGAGAAGCAAGGCUAAAGGAGAGUCAGGG
rnacentral:piRNA from 1 species